rnacentral:rRNA from 1 species
CGCUGGCGGCAUGCCUUACACAUGCAAGUCGAACGGUAACGCGGGGCAACCUGGCGACGAGUGGCGAACGGGUGAGUAAUAUAUCGGAACGUGCCCAGUUGUGGGGGAUAACUGCUCGAAAGGGCAGCUAAUACCGCAUACGACCUGAGGGUGAAAGCGGGGGAUCGCAAGACCUCGCGCAAUUGGGGCGGCCGAUAUCAGAUUAGGUAGUUGGUGGGGUAAAGGCCUACCAAGCCUACGAUCUGUAGCUGGUCUGAGAGGACGACCAGCCACACUGGGACUGAGACACGGCCCAGACUCCUACGGGAGGCAGCAGUGGGGAAUUUUGGACAAUGGGGGCAACCCUGAUCCAGCCAUGCCGCGUGCGGGAAGAAGGCCUUCGGGUUGUAAACCGCUUUUGUCAGGGAAGAAAAGACUCCUACUAAUACUGGGGGUUCAUGACGGUACCUGAAGAAUAAGCACCGGCU